rnacentral:rRNA from 1 species
CUUUUACAAUGAAGAGUUUGAUCCUGGCUCAGGAUGAACGCUAGCUACAGGCUUAACACAUGCAAGUCGAGGGGCAGCAUUUCAGUUUGCUUGCAAACUGGAGAUGGCGACCGGCGCACGGGUGAGUAACACGUAUCCAACCUGCCGAUAACUCGGGGAUAGCCUUUCGAAAGAAAGAUUAAUACCCGAUGGUAUAAUCAGACCGCAUGGUCUUAUUAUUAAAGAAUUUCGGUUAUCGAUGGGGAUGCGUUCCAUUAGGCAGUUGGUGAGGUAACGGCUCACCAAACCUUCGAUGGAUAGGGGUUCUGAGAGGAAGGUCCCCCACAUUGGAACUGAGACACGGUCCAAACUCCUACGGGAGGCAGCAGUGAGGAAUANAGGGGCAGCAGGAUCUAGCAAUAGAUUGCUGGCGACCGGCGCACGGGUGAGUAACACGUAUCCAACCUGCCGAUAACUCGGGGAUAGCCUUUCGAAAGAAAGAUUAAUACCCGAUGGUAUAAUCAGACCGCAUGGUUUGAUUAUUAAAGAAUUUCGGUUAUCGAUGGGGAUGCGUUCCAUUAGGCAGUUGGUGAGGUAACGGCUCACCAAACCUUCGAUGGAUAGGGGUUCUGAGAGGAAGGUCCCCCACAUUGGAACUGAGACACGGUCCAAACUCCUACGGGAGGCAGCAGUGAGGAAUAUUGGUCAAUGGGCGCAGGCCUGAACCAGCCAAGUAGCGUGAAGGAUGACUGCCCUAUGGGUUGUAAACUUCUUUUAUAUGGGAAUAAAGUUUUCCACGUGUGGAAUUUUGUAUGUACCAUAUGAAUAAGGAUCGGCUAACUCCGUGCCAGCAGCCGCGGUAAUACGGAGGAUCCGAGCGUUAUCCGGAUUUAUUGGGUUUAAAGGGAGCGUAGGUGGACAGUUAAGUCAGUUGUGAAAGUUUGCGGCUCAACCGUAAAAUUGCAGUUGAUACUGGCUGUCUUGAGUACAGUAGAGGUGGGCGGAAUUCGUGGUGUAGCGGUGAAAUGCUUAGAUAUCACGAAGAACUCCGAUUGCGAAGGCAGCUCACUGGACUGCAACUGACACUGAUGCUCGAAAGUGUGGGUAUCAAACAGGAUUAGAUACCCUGGUAGUCCACACAGUAAACGAUGAAUACUCGCUGUUUGCGAUAUACAGUAAGCGGCCAAGCGAAAGCAUUAAGUAUUCCACCUGGGGAGUACGCCGGCAACGGUGAAACUCAAAGGAAUUGACGGGGGCCCGCACAAGCGGAGGAACAUGUGGUUUAAUUCGAUGAUACGCGAGGAACCUUACCCGGGCUUAAAUUGCAUUUGAAUAAUCUGGAAACAGGUUAGCCGCAAGGCAAAUGUGAAGGUGCUGCAUGGUUGUCGUCAGCUCGUGCCGUGAGGUGUCGGCUUAAGUGCCAUAACGAGCGCAACCCUUAUCUUUAGUUACUAACAGGUCAUGCUGAGGACUCUAGAGAGACUGCCGUCGUAAGAUGUGAGGAAGGUGGGGAUGACGUCAAAUCAGCACGGCCCUUACGUCCGGGGCUACACACGUGUUACAAUGGGGGGUACAGAAGGCAGCUACCUGGUGACAGGAUGCUAAUCCCAAAAGCCUCUCUCAGUUCGGAUCGAAGUCUGCAACCCGACUUCGUGAAGCUGGAUUCGCUAGUAAUCGCGCAUCAGCCAUGGCGCGGUGAAUACGUUCCCGGGCCUUGUACACACCGCCCGUCAAGCCAUGAAAGCCGGGGGUACCUGAAGUACGUAACCGCAAGGAGCGUCCUAGGGUAAAACUGGUAAUUGGGGCUAAGUCGUAACAAGGUAGCCGUACCGGAAGGUGCGGCUGGAACACCUCCUUUCU